rnacentral:pre_miRNA from 1 species
UUGAGCAAGAUGGAGAAGCAGGGCACGUGCAUUACUAACUCAUGCACUUUAACCCGAAGCUAGCUUAAUGUUAGCUAGGCAUCAUAUGGUUGCCACAUGUAAUCCAUAGAUAUGGUGCAUUGUGUGCUUAGCUUCAACUGGCUCAAUGAGUUAGUACUUCAUGUGCCUGCCUUCCCCAUCGUGAUCAC